UGGGGAAUUUUGGACAAUGGGCGAAAGCCUGAUCCAGCAAUGCCGCGUGUGUGAAGAAGGCCUUCGGGUUGUAAAGCACUUUUGUCCGGAAAGAAAUCCUUGGCUCUAAUACAGUCGGGGGAUGACGGUACCGGAAGAAUAAGCACCGGCUAACUACGUGCCAGCAGCCGCGGUAAUACGUAGGGUGCAAGCGUUAAUCGGAAUUACUGGGCGUAAAGCGUGCGCAGGCGGUUUGCUAAGACCGAUGUGAAAUCCCCGGGCUCAACCUGGGAACUGCAUUGGUGACUGGCAGGCUAGAGUAUGGCAGAGGGGGGUAGAAUUCCACGUGUAGCAGUGAAAUGCGUAGAGAUGUGGAGGAAUACCGAUGGCGAAGGCAGCCCCCUGGGCCAAUACUGACGCUCAUGCACGAAAGCGUGGGGGAGCAAAACAGGAUUAGAUACCCUGGUAGUCCACGCCCUAAAACGAUGUCAACUAGUUGUUGGGGAUUCAUUUCCUUAGUAACGUAGCUAACGCGCGAAGUUGACCGCCUGGGGAGUACGGUCGCAAGAUUAAAACUUAAAGGAAUUGACGGGGUCAUA
rnacentral:rRNA from 1 species